rnacentral:rRNA from 1 species
AUUGAACGCUGGCGGCAUGCCUUACACAUGCAAGUCGAACGGCAGCGGACCUUCGGGUGCCGGCGAGUGGCGAACGGGUGAGUAAUAUAUCGGAACGUACCUUUCAGUGGGGGAUAACGUAGCGAAAGUUACGCUAAUACCGCAUAUUCUGUGAGCAGGAAAGCAGGGGAUCGCAAGACCUUGCGCUGAUUGAGCGGCCGAUAUCAGAUUAGCUAGUUGGUGAGGUAAAGGCUCACCAAGGCGACGAUCUGUAGCGGGUCUGAGAGGAUGAUCCGCCACACUGGAACUGAGACACGGUCCAGACUCCUACGGGAGGCAGCAGUGGGGAAUUUUUGGACAAUGGGCGCAAGCCUGAUCCAGCCAUGCCGCGUGAGUGAAGAAGGCCUGGUUGUUAAGA